rnacentral:lncRNA from 1 species
GACGCCGAUCUAAAAACAGGCGUAUUUUCAAAAUGUUACGAAAAAAUAACAAACACAAAUCACGAGAUGUUUAAACCGGCAUUUAAGCCGGUCCAGAUUUGUAGGCAUAAAUUUCCCCACCCAUUUAAAGUCUGGAUUUACACCAUCGCCGGCGAAUGUACGGUCAUUCCUACCUCAGUCCUCUUUAAAAACACACUUCUAUCGUCCGCCACGGGCCCAUAUCUUACUAAAAAAGUAAACUACGGGGCUUUUAAAAUUAUCGUUUAGCCAGGCUACGGUAGAUACCGAAGUUGUGGUAGGCCAUCUCCGGCAUCGACCACCACUCUAUCUCCCGAGUUCCACACCUUUACCCAGACUGGCAUUACGGGCGAUUGGCUUUCUAAUGGACACGGAAUCGUCCGUUUAGAGAGAAUUUGGGACCGAACACCAGCCAACCUGUUUAUGUAUAGAAAAAUUAUGUGGGAUUGGUAUACGGUAGGAUUUUAUCAAGCCCGACGGAAAAUAAUAAAAUAAAAUAUUGGCUCACCUACCGAAAGUUCUAUCUCCCAGUCCGAGCAUCUUCUAUCCGCUAUCGGCGGUCUGGGAUGGCCGUUACCUACCCUACACAAUAUUUACCCAUAAAAGACAUAUAGCGGGUUACGCGUAGCCAGAAAUGUGGCAUGGGGUCAACCAUCCAGUCCACCGUUAGAUCCGAACUGUCAGCGUCGGGUUUUUUCCGGCCACUGACCGUUAGCGCGGCGGAUUACGUACGCCGAGGCGCGUAUCUUAUCCCUAGCUGGGUAUUUGUUAAGGUUUUGUGGCUAGGGCCGUACGGGUUUCUAGCCAGGGAAAUCCCCGUACUAGGCCGAAGUGGCUAGUUUUAGUGGAGUAAGAUUACCCUUUCCUCGACCACAAUACGGGUAAUUCUCUAAAAUUACUCGGACAAGUUAAUUACCAAAAUAUUUAAUGGUCUACACCAAUCCGUGGUAAAAAAAUAAUACCGCGGUUUAAGAGUAAGUCGGGUGGCCUCCCGGCUCUUACUUACCAUCUACAUCCGGGACAUUUCUAAACUAUUAUCACCGCGGUAGCGCGUAACUGGAAGCGGACCUUUCCGGUUUUUCCGCUAUCCGGGAAUGGCUGGCCGCUAAUAAUUUAAUAAUUAAUGUUAGUAAAUCGAAAAUCUCGGGAUAACCGACAACUGGCUGCCUUCCUUUAAGCGGUAGCUGUUAGGAAGCCGAUUAUUUUCCAAUUCCCGAAGAAACUCGGUUAUUUUAUAUCCGGGAAUUGUGGGAAUUUAAAACGGUCCAGUUAACGGAAGUCGGCUCUUAGAGCCGCGUUAGAGGGAUGAUUUUCCGGCUGGCUACGGGAUAUACCGACAGAUAAGAGACGAAUAGGAAAAAAAUAAAUUUCCUCUAGAACCAGACGCUUUUCCGGAAAAUUCGGACGGGCCGAGUUUAGGACGGCCAACCGUUGGCCGGGUAAAAUUCACCCGGGCGGUGCCGAAAAAUAUUCCCCGAUAACAUUGUUGGCCAAAUUCGGACUCUAAUCCGCCAUCCAAAGGCGCGGAGCCCAUCUUUUCCUUCUUAUAAACGUCGGGCCGGGUGGAAGCGCGGAGAGAAAUCCGGCACAAGUUACAACUACACCUUUGGGAACGAGAACCGUAUACAGCCUAUUAUAUCGGAUGGAGACCGAUUAGAAGAAACCCGGUUUAGGGAGAGGGACACCUUCCGAGGAAACCGAGCGUUAAACGAAGCGGCCUUAAACCGGGUCGUCUGGAUACGUAAAGAAUGGGAAGAAGCGAACAGCCAAUAAAAAGUUUUUUAUUUUAUUUGGUCUCGCCUCUUAUUCGCUAUUGUAUAACGUCGCACUAAUUAUCGACAUUUUUUACGGAUUGGUGAAAAUCAAAAAUACCCGAGUAAAUAAUCUAGGCGGAAGAUCGACGCUUUUUUCGUUAGAAAGCGGCCCGACGUCAUUAGCCUUUUCCUCUUUCGGCCUUCGAACUUCUGUCAAAAUUUGCUUUAUUUUAUAUAAAGCUGGUUUAUAAUUUCCCCGACUAAACUCGUUUCCAGAAAAUACGUGGCAGGCUGGCGGCGGGCUCGGUGCGUACUGCGCGGCACUCGUAUCCAACGCGCGGCCAGACGGCGUACGAAUAUGAAAAAUUUCCGCCGUUUCGGAUUUACGCCAGUAUAACGGUUGGAAAAACCGCGCCAAAGUCGAUCGAUAAAAAACGCAAUUCGAAAAAUUCGGCGUUAUAUCGGAACUGCGUUAAACGGAGCGGCGUUUGGCGGGCUCUUACUAUAUACGUAUAUAUAAUCGGGUAAACGUACGGUGGCUCUCCAAACUGCAGCCACUCGACCCCAGGCCGGUAGUGUUUCGACAAAACGACUUAACCAAAAUUUUCUGCCGGGAAUGGGAAAUCCAUAAAGCGUCGUUUCGAAAAAAUCCGUUUUAAUCGACAGAAAAUAUGGCCGGGAGUGGAUCGAAAGUAUUCUCACCCUGGAAAUUAAUCGGACGUCGACCCACCCCGGCCCGCCGUCACCGCUUUCGGACCGUGGGCGGGACAGCCAUUUUAGACGGUGGUUCCGGCGGAAUCCAUCCCAUUCGCUCAAAUUUUUAGGAUGUGUGGGUACCAACCGUUUCCGGUCGGCCGAAAAUGUUCCGGACUGGGUUCCAUCCCCGCCGGAAGGUGGAUUUUAUUCCGGUCGGGGCGUGGUGGCCCGACGUGUCGGGGACGGUUAUCGGACUGGAACCACCCGUAAAUCGAAUUUUCUGGCCCAGGGUGACGGAUACCUUCGGACGGACGGAGAAUCCGUAGUCGGGUCCAUCUCCGGCGGCCUACUCCGCAGCUACGUCCGUAAGUGUUCCUCCUUCCCGCGCUUUGUCUUCCACUUCUUCCUUUCCACUGGACGCUAGACCCAGCCUUCUUUCGGAAUUAUUUCUCCGUUGUCCGGUCUUUCCAUCCGUCCUUAAAUUUCCUUAAGAAAAAUAAUAAUAACUAUCCAGGCGGGUAAUUUUUAUUUUCCAAAAAUGCGAAAUGGAAAAUAAGGCCAACCGGGGGAUCCCUCACCCCGGUGGCCCCACCACCCGUAAAUAACCAAUUUCUCUGCAGGCGCAGGCGCCAGCCCGCCAUAAUCGACCGUGUAAUGGCUGGAGGUGGCACGGCCAGGCACAUAUGUAUAUUAUUUACGUUAUAUACACGUAUAACUUCUAUACAGACGAUGGUCCCGGACAUUUUACACGGGUCGACGCCGAUCCGAAUACACCUAUUAAAUUACGGCGGCCGACGAAGGUUCGGACGGAAACGAAUACGGCCGUAGCCGGAAAAGGCCGACCCCUACCCAGCUACGGUUAACUAGUAUUUGGUGGCCAUAUUUUUCAAACUGGCCAAGUUAGGCGGCGCUGACCUCAGAAUUUGGGAGAAGACGGCAGUAAACCUUCCCAUAUAACUUCGAAAAUUUCUCGCCCCCUUCUUACUCUUCCGCCAUCCGUGGUUUCCGGGUGGAGAGGGAAAUGUACGUUUUAAGGGAGAAGCCGAGAGUCCGCCUCCCACCCACAGGCUCCGUUACCGGUGGACGGCCCUUUCCAGCGGUGGAAGUCCGGCCCGGGGCCGAUUUAAUUUCACCGGAGAAAAGUCGGUGCCGUCCGGCGGAACGGUAAGACCUAUAGCUACAUUCGGUCCCGAAUUGGCCGUCGGUUACCGAAAGAAGACGGUCCAGACCGCAGCUUUGGCUGCUUUGUACCGAGAUGGUACGCAUACCGGACACCAGGGACAUCCCUACCAAAGUUGGCUUUAUUCGGAGGGGCGGGAAGAAAUCCCACGGCCCGGGUUAAAGCCGAUAAUUCUUCCGAAUUUAAAGCCACCGAAAAGUUUCAGCUUUCCUUCCGGCCAGAACGGCCGAAGGAAAGAAGUGGCGCUGUUACCCCGCUGUCGCCCGGACGGUCCCCGGUCGGCGGCCCCAAAGCCAUACCGUAUUUACUUCGGGCCCUGUUUUCUGCGGUCGGUGCCCAGCUACGGCCCAACCGUCAUCUUCCACCCAUCGGAAAUGGCCGUUUCCACUCGUCCCGGCCAUAUUGUUUAUGGCCCGUUUCCUAUCUUAAUUCCUUUCGUAGCCCGCUUUGAAAGGAGUUAGUGAUAACCCUGCCUACCGCGCCCUCGGCUCCAUCCCCGGUUUGGUCAAACCGAAUAUUCUCACCUGGCCGGGACCGGGCGCCGACGGGAUUGACCGCUCUCUCCGGUUCCGAAUUACUAGCCAUAGUGGAGGCCGUACGUUAGUGGCCAUUAAACAAACCACCCUCUUUCGGAAGGGUCCGUUAUUUUUGACUAGUCGGUCCGUUCUGCCUUUCGGAAGGGAGAGGCGUAUGGUACAAAAUGAAGUCGAGCCGGAGAUGGGUCAGGGCCGGGUCUAACUUUUCAUCCUGGUCGGUAGAAAAAAAUGGCGCGUAGAAACCUCUUCCGUACCGACCGUCUACCGGCUACAAAAGAGAAAAAGGCGUGCUUUAGUCCGAUUGAAAAGAAGGAAGCCAGAAGUAGAAACGAAAGCGGAAAGAACGCUACAGCCCAUGAGUAUUUUCCUACCCGGUUUUUAUAGCCGAUUCCAAUGGCUUUUGGUCCGAUUGGAGAUACCUGUGGAGGUUAUUCUAGCGCCCUCUACUCGAGGUCGGCCCUCGAUGUUCUCUACGCGGUUUAGCUCAGCUUUCCAUCCGGAUACUAAGCGGCCGAACGGCCCACCUCUCUGCCGCGUCGAACGUUCUACGGAACAUGGAGUUCGACCGGGCCCAUCCGGACCCGUCUGGAAAAAAUAAAGUGGAGAGCGGGAAUCGAAUCCCAUACUCGGGGAUAGACCGAUCCCUUCCACCUCCGCCAUCCGGCCCAGGCAGCGGAUCGGCCCACCGUCAGAAAAAGUGGAGACGUAAAUUGUGGAAAGGCCGACCGAGAUAUCUGGGACGUUUUUUUUGUCAACACUUUCCAUUAAAUUAGAAUACUAAGUGACGGGGCGAAACAAGCCCUUCCACAGGCUGCCCACCCCUGCGG